AACGCACAUUGCGCCCCUUGGUAUUCCGAGGGGCAUGCCUAUUCGAGCGUCAUUAUCACCCCUCAAGCCUAGCUUGGUGUUGAGGCCUGCUGUCAAGGCAGCCUCUAAAAUCAGUGGCAGUGCUGUCAGGCUCUAAGCGUAGUAAAUCUAAUCGCUAUAGACACCUGGUGGACACUCGCCAGAACCCCCCAUUUUUUAAUGAUUGACCUCGGAUUAGGUAGGGAUACCCGCUGAACUUAA
rnacentral:misc_RNA from 1 species